AUUAGACUGAGAUCAAAAGUAGAAAACUGAUGGUACCCAUUUAACAAAUCUUCCAAGCCUUAAAAGAUACUUGUUCCAAAACUCUCAGGGACAUAACGUCGAACAUUUGGUGUGCGUUAUUAUUCGAAACAAAGCUCUUUCAACUUCGUCGCUGCUGAUUCGUCAAUUGAGUACUGCAAAUGAUUGAAAACAAACAAUUAACACAAAGGAUACCUAGAAUCUAUGAUCUGAAAUAAACCCAGAAUCUUCGUUACCUUCAUGGCCGGUUUCGGAGUUUGAUUUGUUUGUGUCUCCGUUUGUACCUGCAAAAUAAUUGAACAAGAAAUUCAACCCAAGUAAACCACCAGAAAAUUCAUAAUCCCAAAAGCACUUAAUAUUAUAAAGAGUAGAGAUAGUUGUUUACAAACAAGAACAAAACCAAAAAUUAAUCGUCGGGUGUUGUUCAGGUUCAGCAGCACAUCCAAAACAACAAAUUCCACAAUCAAAUUGCAAAACAAUAACGUAGAACCCUAAACAAAACACUCCACGAUUCCAAACAAAAUUGCAGAGAUAAAUUCUUUCAAAUCCUGAACAUCACCAUCCAUUAUCCGUUUCCACCUAACUACAAGUAAGGAAAGAAAUCGAAGAACAAGAAGAAGAGCUUCAUGAUUAAUUUUCACCUAACUACCCAAAUUGGAUUUCGAUCAAUCUCUAACUGUAAUCGAAAGCCCAGGGAGAUCGUAAUUCCAAAGAGAGAAUCGAGGAAACAAGAAAAAAUCGCGGCCAAUAGAAACGGGACACGUCAGCGUCUCUCUUCCCUUCCAAAAUCUCUCUCAAGAGAGACAGUUCUCUUAAAAAUAUAUCAUUUUGAUUUAUUUUUUUACACUUUUAAUCU
rnacentral:lncRNA from 1 species